rnacentral:rRNA from 1 species
UACAGAGGUCUCAAGCGUUGUUCGGAUUCAUUGGGCGUAAAGGGUGCGUAGGUGGCGAUGUAAGUCUGGUGUGAAAUCUCGGGGCUCAACCUCGAAAUUGCAUUGGAUACUGCGUUGCUAGAGGAUUGUAGAGGAGAGUGGAAUUCACGGUGUAGCAGUGAAAUGCGUAGAUAUCGUGAGGAAGACCAGUUGCGAAGGCGACUCUCUGGGCAAUUCCUGACACUGAGGCACGAAGGCCAGGGGAGCAAACGGG